rnacentral:antisense_RNA from 1 species
CUUGACCGAGCCCAGCAGCAGCGGCCGGUCGGCCGGGCGGUCCUGGCCGUAGGUGGCCAGCAGGGCCAUCGCCUC